GCUUUAUCUCCCCAGCUGGGCCUAGUACAGGACUCUUCAGGAACAGGGUUGUGCUUUCAGGCAGGAUAGUAGUGAGCUGAUGAAAGUAAGAGUUCUGAAAUGUGAGAGAGCCCUGGGAUUCAUUUGCAUGUUUCAUUUUCCCUAAAGUUUUCACAGUUCUGCAAAGGAUGAAUCACUAGCUCCAUUUUUAAAGACAAGAAGAUAAAGACUUCCAGUUGCCAACAAAGCUACAAUGGACCUCAUUGCUGACAUGAAAAAUGCCCUCAAUGUGUGACUGAAGCAAACUCAUGGCAGUGCUUCAAAAUGCUUGUGUGGAGGGUUGAGAAAAAUCCCCCCACCUCCCUGUACAAUUCCAAUAAGUGCUGUACUUUCAGUUCUAACCUUAUUCUUUACACUCUGUGCAUAGUUGUCAUUACUGGGGAUUUAGUGGCAUCUGACUCCUACUCAAUUCAGCAGUUCUUCAGCCCUUGACUGGUGAAUAGACAAGCUUAUAAUAGAAAAGCUGCCUCUUCAGAGAAAGUGGCUCAGCAGGAUGUAAGAGGCCCAGGGAGAGAAGCCCUCUCCUUUCAGGAGAAUGUUACUCAAGGUGACCUCUUGCUUCAGUCCUCAGACAAUCUCUGAAAGAAAGUGAAGUUGAAAACAACAGGAGGGUUAGAAAGAAGUGGCCAGAGGGAUGACCCACACUGGUGCUGUCUCUCCUGGCUUUUUCCUUCCAGGUGGGCUUGUACAGCUGCCUCUUGGUCUCUAAAGUUCAUUUUAAAACACAUUAGUCAAUUGAAUAGACUCAGAUUCUAUCUGAUUUUGUAUUUCAGUGAUUUGAAAGGUGGCAUGAGAAAGGCUACUGUGGAGCUUCUUUUCUUUGAAGGUUCAAUAGAAGAGAAGAUACCAUUCUUUUAGGUUUGCUACUCAUUUUAUUAAACCUUAAAGUACCCUUGAGAGUAUGACAGAGGUCACAUUUGGUUAUUUUCACUUACAGGCUGGAAGCAGAGUCAACCUCAGGAAGGUGUUAAAUGCUACACAAGAUACAAUUAGAAUAUUUACUAUAUGACAUAGGCCUCUAUCCCAGCUAUCAUACACUAAACUGAAUGUCUCAAAGAAUUAUCCAAAUGUUCCAAAAUAUGAUUUCUUUUGUAAGAAAGUGAGUUUAUUAGAAAAAUAUGUAUGUGUCAUUAUCUAUACUAAAUGUA